GGAGUCUGGUCCGUGUCUCAGUACCAGUGUGGGGGACCUUCCUCUCAGAACCCCUACUGAUCGUAGGCCAGGUGGGCCGUUACCCCGCCUGCAACCUAAUCAGACGCAUCCCCAUCCCAUAGCGGUAAACCUUUAUUCCUCGUUAGAUGCCUGCAAAGGAAAACAUAGGGUAUUAAUCCGCAUUUCUACGGGCUAUGCCCUACUAUGGGGAAGGUUGGAUACGCGUUACUCACCCGUGCGCCGGUCGCCAUCAAUCAAAGCAAGCUUCGAUUAUGCUGCCCCUCGACUUGCAUGUGUUAAGCCUGUAGCUAGCGUUCAUC
rnacentral:rRNA from 1 species